AUGAAAUGCUGCAUCGGGAAUAUCUGUAUGAUAAGGAGAUUGGAGGAUGCUUUUCUGCAUAACUUUAUCAUUCCAAUGGUCUGGAGGAUUUGGAUGAUUGAAAACCAACAAGUAAAUAAAGCCCUAUCUAUUACAUAGCCAACUGUUGGAGAGGCUUGCAGAGAACUCUAUUUUUGUUCAAAGCUUCCCUUCAAAACCAACCAUAAACACUGCGUCACACCACUACUGCUUUGUUGAGACACUGUCUGCACACUGGGAGGAAGGAGCAGAGACAAAGAACAAACUGGCAAUGCCCUGAAAUUGCAUCUUCUCUCCAGUCCCCAGAACGCAGUGAGGCUGGCCUUUCUGUCCUUCGUUUUCAAGAACAUUGGACACGAUGGAGAAACAAGGUGGCAAAAUACCAAAGUUUGCGUUGAUACUUCAGUGAUACAUACUACUUUCCAUCUUUCCACUCCUGCUCUGCAGAAGCUUACCCUGUGGUGACAUCAGACAGCCUCCCGGGUAUCCAGGGAGCACAGACACAGUUGGAAGGGGGUGGGGGAGUGAGAGAGGAAUCGAUGUUUUUCCUGCUGAGAGGAGGCUGUCCAGGAUGAUAGGUGGACAGAAACAAACGAAACGUUGCAGGACCCAAGGAUCAAACCCCAUCUGCAGCAUGGCUGGAGGAACGUGGCCUCAGAGCCAGGAGAAUAAAAAAUACACAACAGAAUGGGCUGUAAUCUCUUUCUCCCCCUUGGACAUCUGA
rnacentral:lncRNA from 1 species